rnacentral:lncRNA from 1 species
ACACGCGUACUUGAAACUAAUUUCUCACUCGUACAAAACCACACCAAGAAUAACUUAUUUCAGCACUUAUCAGUUCUGAUUUAAGUCUUAUUUUACAAUAAAUUUAUUCAUAAGCAUGAUCAUAAGAGAAGCCAAGUGAACAACUAAUGAAGGUUUCCACGUUUCUUGAAGGGUAACAAACUUAAAAUUUGACGAAGUUCUUUUCCUUCAAGCUCUCCACAGUAUCCUUGAUGCUCACUUCCAAAGGAAUAUAUUCAAUCCCCAAGCUCUUUGCUUUUUCCUUCGAAACCUGGAAUAUUGGAUCAUAUGGCUUAUCAUCUACGCACCUGGUAAUAUUGUUCACAGAGUGAAACCAUAUUAGAAAAAUCAAAACUACAAAAACUUUAAUUAUUUAUAAUUAUACAAAUGCAAAACAGUAGCUGUAUACAAAUCUAAAAUUACGACAAAUUAGUAGCUGUAUAUGGUUUUAUUUUAGGAAGGUUGUUCUGUUGUUUUAGCCUAUAUAAUCUAAGAUUUUAUAUGGUUUCAGAUCACCAAUGCUGAAUGCAUUUCUGACACUAAACUCAGUUUUCAAGCAAGUAAAUAAAGCACUAAAUAGUAACGUACAACAGAUGGGGACUUAUGUUCACGUUUCACAUGAACUGUAUGCAAUCUUGAAACUACCAAAAUAGUUAUACUCACUUCUCUGGAAGUUGUAAUGUAGGGUACAAAUCACGUAAAAACUUCACAACGUCUGAGAAGUGUGCGACUCUCUCAACUAGUACAUAUCUUCCAUUAGCUGAAGCACUCUCAUAUGCUAGAAUAUGGGCCAUUGCAACAUCUCUCACGUCCACCCAUCCCAAAGUUACAUUUCCAAAUGUUGGCGAACCUGUAUCAAGGAUAGAACAGUUUCUUCAAUUAUCAAAGAAUUGUGCAGCGAAAAAUCCUAACAUAUUAUUAGCCCUCCCUUUCACGUUCCAUUUUAAUUUAUGUUUCAUUAUUUGGCAUUUCCUUUUGUUUUAUUUGAUCCAUAACAUAGUUUGAGUUUAAAAAAAAUGACACUGUGUAAUCAAGAUGCAGGCAAAUCAAACAAUAGAAAUUUAAGAGCAUAAGGUAUAAACAGUAAUUACCAUCUACUAGACUUAAAACCAUAGCAGAACUAGUGUUGAGUUCUGGUUGCAAGAGAGGUCCAACAACCAAUGCCGGGUUCAUUGUAACCAAGUCAAUAUUGUUUUCUUUCGCAAAUUUCCAGGCAGCAUCUUCGGCCAAAGUCUUUGAGAGGUUAUACCAUAACUAAAACAUAAAUAGGAAAAACAAGGAAUGUGAAAAACAGGGUAACAUAGUAUUACAGUACAAUAGUUAUUGUGUAAUCAGUGUUCAGAGACAAUUAAUUGUUAUCUUUUAAGAAGCACAAAACAUUAUCAUAUCUACUAUUUGUGUAGUUCUCCAAUGAUGUUUAAUCUCGGUAGUAAGGAUUAACAAGUUGAUUAGGGGAAACAGCACAUACCCCAUUUUCCUUACAAUAUUCAGGAUCGGAAUACCAAGUCUCGUCAACCACAACAUCAGGGGUUUUAGGCCUGUAGUUGAACGAAACUGCAGCAACGGAAGAAGUUAAAACGACGCGUUUCAGCGUGGGCGACUUCACACACGAUUUCAGAACAUUCAGAGUUCCCUUCAAAGCUGGAUCCAACAACUCAGUCUGAAAUACAUAAAGUAAAAUCAAAAUAUCACAAUCCACAGAUAAAAACAAAAUGCACAAAUCGAAUUGCAAUGCAAACGAAACAAACCUGCGGAUCUUUGGCAUUGUUAAAAAACGGAGAAGCAGUAUGAAACACAGCGUGAACACCUUCAACGGCAGAGUCAAAGGAACCUUCUUCUAGAAGAUUCGCCUUCACGAGAUGCAACCUCUCCUUGGCACCAUCAAGGUUAAGCAAGUGAUCAACCUUACUGGAAUUAUCUGCACAUCACAAAUUAUCCAAACUUUAAUUUUCGAAAUAGUAAUCAGCAUCAGCAUCACCACAAAUAAUCACCGACGAAAACAAAAAGUUAUGGAAGACAAAAGAAAGCACAUACUUGGAUCGCGAACGGUGGCCUUAACAGUGUAACCGCGUUCGAGAAGAAACUUGACGACCCAGGAAGCAAUGUAACCGGAAGCACCGGUGACACACACUACUUGUCCAGCUCCGGUGCUCAUUCUGGAUUAUGUUCUUCUACUCUGAGAUGAUUCUCUCUGUUGAGUGUUGUUGUUCUGUGUUAUGUUGACUCAAUCACAAACAAACUCACCUUUUUUUAAAGAACCAAAAAAAGUUUGCGUUUUCAAUUUGGAAAGGUUUUACUGGGGGCGUUUCCAUCUGAAUAGGUGUCCGUGGGCCAUUUCCAAAUAUAUCCAAAACCAUGAUUUUAAAAUACAGAGUAUCAUAACACGUAUCAUCAUAUAAAUUUUUAAAUUAUGACUUGCAAAUAAAUUUUUCAUCAUAAAAAUAAAAGACAUUUCUAUCAACACUAAACAUAAUGUAGCUAUUAUAAGAAUAUUUUACUAAAAUAAAAUUAAAUAUAUUUUUCGUCUUCUCUAAAAAAAGUCUAUAAUCUAAAUUUUAGAAGUUUUUUUUUAAUAAAAAAAAACUAUUGAAAUGUGAUAAAUAGAUUUUAAUUAUAGAUUAGGAGGUUAGAAUAUUUUGUGUUAAUUUAACGCUAACACGUGUUAAUAUCAUAAUAAGAAAAAACACGGUUAAACUAAAAUCUUAAAAUGAUUCAUUUAGAUUCUAUUUCACGUGGUUGUGGUUGAUAUAAUAUUAUAAUAACAAAAUAGUGAUAAUGAUUCAUUAUAAUAGUUGUUAUUAUAAAUACUCUAAAAUUUAAAUUAAAACAAAACAAAUUUGGUGGGACAAAAAGAAGAUAUUUAAUUCUUAAAACAAAAAUCAUAAGUAGAUAAGGCAAUUAAACUGUGAAACAUAAAUGAAAGAAAGAGACGUGGAUUAAUAGAAAUCCAUAACAUAUUAUUGAGAAUGCGACCCCAAAAGUCUGGGAAGAAGCAAAAAUAGUGUUGAUUUGAAGAGUACAUUGAGCCGUAACAUGCAAGAUUUGGUUAUGUUUAUUUUUUGGUGACGUUGUAUGCAGAUAACGUUUUAGUCUCAACUGUCUAAACUACAAAACAAUAUUAAAUAUCAUAUUGUACUUAUAAAGAUUUAUACUUAGACCGGGUCCAGUCUAGGUAAGAAUGACGCAUUCGUUGACGUUAAGAUUUUAUAAUGUUUUAUGCGCUGCCUUCAAAUUUUAGUAUUCUAUUUCUUUAUUUUUCUAUAAAUAAAUAAAUAAUAAACGAAUAAAUUUUAGUUUAGAGAUUUGUAAGAAAAAUAUUUUGAUUCCUCUAACAUUAAAAUAAUUAAUUUUAAAUUUUUAAUAUUUGUAUUAAACUAAACUAUGCGAUUAAACAAUGAAUAGUUAAAAACACAGGUGAAUUGGUUUAAAGAAUAUUUUCUUAUAUUUUAUGAGAUAAUAGAUUAUUUUUUAUUUAUAAUCGAUUAUAUAUAUAAACAAACAUUUUAAAUUUAGUUAAAAUAAUUAAUUAUUCACUGUUUAUUUGCAAGAAGAAACAUUUUAGAUAUAAUUGAUAUAAUCAGUUAUUUAUUGUUCGUCGACUAUAUACGAAAAUAUACAUAUAUUUUAGAUUUAAUUAACAUAAUUAAUUGUUAAAUUUUUAUAAUCUAUUAUCUACAAAAUAUAGUGAAAUUUAUGCGUGGUUUAACUUUAGGUAAUUGAUUAUAAUUUUAAUAUAAUUAAUUAUUAUGUUUAGAAAAAUAUAAAACCAGUUUUUUUAAAAUUCAAAAUUGUUAAAGAUUAUUUUAAAGAUGGAUUAUUUUUUACAUUUUAUUAUAGUAAAAUAAUGAACAAUUGAUAAAUGAAUCAUCGAUGAUAAGUUCAACACCAUCAAAAUCAAUACAUCAUAGUUUGGUAAAAUUUAAAAGUAUUAAAAUUGUAGUGUACUAUGAUAUCAAGUUACAUAAACACAUCUAGAAGUUCUAUGAUUAAUUAUCAUUUAUUUAUUUAGAAGCAAAUAUUGAGAAUUAAAUUUAAGAAUUAUAAAAAUACAAAUACAAAUUAGAAAAAUAAACUAAUAUUUUUAUAAAAAUAUAUUGGUUUUAAAAUUUAUAGAAAAAUACUAUAAAAAAAGCUUAAUAAUGUAAGAAUUAAAAAUGUAUUCAUACUAAAAGUAAAUAGUUUUGUAACAAUUUGUCUAAAUGGUUAAAGUUCUUAUUCUCAUCUAGUUUAUCAUUUCUCAUUGAUAGAAUGUGUAAAUAUAUUUUCUUGCAAAUUACGAAUCUAAACACAUAGAAGUAAACAUAAAUGUGAGAAAAUUACUUAUAAAAAAGUUUGUCUCUUUUAUGUUCUUUUUCGCUAUUAAAAUAGUUUACAUGUACACUAAAAUGUUUCUAAGCAUACUUUUUUAUGAAUUCUGAGUCCAUCUUACAAGAAUCCCUUAUAGGAGUGUGAUAAAACAAGUAAAUAUUUUUGUCAAUAUUUUUAAUAUUUUUUGUAAUAUUUUAUAUUAGAAUAGAUAAUUAGUUAAGUUUUUUUAUAGCCUUUAAUUAUAUUGAUAGUGUUUUAUAUAAUGAAAUCUUUGAAUGAAAUAAAAUCACAAAAUAAUUUCAUUACUUCUCUCUCCAUUUUUUAAAUGUUACCAACUACUCCCUCUUAUCAACAACUCGUCCCUACCAUUACAUCCAACUCUUAUCUUCUUCCCUUUUAAAUUCAAAAUUUGCACUUUUCAUAACAUGUAAGGUUCUUAUAGCUUAUGUAAGAGAUGCAACUUCCCAACGGAACGUAAAAUAAAUACAUAAAUAAUAAAAGUUUAAAUUCACGAAAGUAUUAGUUUUUUUAAUAUAAAAUAAUAUUAAUAAAAUAUUAAAUUUAUGUGAUUCUGCAUUGUGUUGCAUUUUCUGCUAUGACUAAUGUUUCUUGGAUGUUUUGUAAUAGGUGAAACACUUAUCUUAACAACCAUGGAAAAAUCAGGUUUAAGGUUUCUCACAUUUAUUGUUAAGGGAAUCAAUAUACUAAUAAGGUUGUUAACUUAGGCUUUAUUCAUAAAAAGUAUUUUCAUUGAUAUAAUAAACUUUCAUCUAGUUUUUUAUUAAUAGAUAUAAAUUCCUUAUGUACCGUUUUUGUUAAUAUAUGAGUUUUGGUCUAAUAUUUCAUAUUUUCUUUUAUUUUUCUAAUUUUUUUUUUUAAUAAUAUUUUUUUCCAUAUAAUCACAAAUGAUUGUUGUUUAUUGAAGUGUUAGCCUAACUGAGAUAUCAAGUUCAUAAUGAUAUCUAAUAUAAAAGUUCUAAAAAAUAUUAUUAUUAUUUUUACUAUUUUAUUAUAAUAUAAUAUGAUUAGAAAUAAUUAAUUAUUAUUUACGUUUAUGUAUUUUAAUUAUUUAUUAUGUUACAAUAAAAAUGAAAUAUUUUAUUAUACUUUAUUUGAAAUUAAUCAAUUAUGUAAUUUAUAUAUGUAUUUUUUAUUGGGAAGCGGGAAGCUAAUAAAUUGUAUUUAAUUUGUGGUGAUUCUGCGCCUGAGUUAGUGGUCUUUGGGUCCUUCUUUUUGGUCGGUUAUCGGAAAAAGAGGGUCCAAUAGGGACGAAACAAUUGUAAGAGUACACGUGAUUCACGUACAAUGAAACUAUUGGAUUAUCAACUUUCCACGUCACAUUGCAUGUCUUUUACUCCUUUAUUGAAAGCAACGUUUUAAUUGUAAAAUUGCAUCAGAUCUAUUCCUUAUUUCUGAUAACCAAUAAGUAUAUGGGGAAUGUAUUUGGGUGCAAUUUAAGGCAAAAGCACCAAAAUGCUGCAAUUCCUGUUCAAAAUUAUUAGAAUGGAAAAAGAAAAAGUCAUUGUAGAAAUAGGUAAGUGUUAAGACAAAAGCACAAGUUUGUUUUAUUGAUGUUUUUCUAUAUUUGUGGUGUGGAGUUUGAACAUGAAUUUAAUUAACGACAAAAUGUUAUUGACAUAAACGAUUUUAGUUGGGUAUGUACAGCAAGACUUUAGUUUUGUAAAAGAAAUAUUUUUUUAAAUGAAAUUAUUAAUUAAAUUGUUAAAAAUUUGACAAAUUUUUUAUUUAUUUAUUUGAGAAAGAUUUAGUUAUUUUUUAAUUUAAAAAUUAAUUGAAAAAUAAUGUUAAAAUCCUAAACAAUACACUAUAAAAUAUAAACUUUAAAGAAGAUGUCAGAGGUGAACCUUAAAUCUUAAACUCAAAGAUAAAAACUCUAAAACAUAAAAUGUAAACCGUAAAAUGUAAAACUAGUGUGAACCCUUGAUCAUAAAGUGUGAAACCCUAAAAUUUCAAACACUAAACCCUAGAGCUAAAGUCUAAAGCCUACAAUUAUUUAAGAAAUGAAUGAAAUCAAACUCAGUAAUUUAUAUAUAUAUAUAUAUAUAUAUAAUAAAAAAUUGGCUAACAAAUUGUAUAAUAUAUACUAAGUAAUUAUUUAUAACUAAUUUAAGUUAUUUGUUAUUAAUUAUGUGUAUAAAUUCGUACACAUUCAUUCUUACCCUAUUCUGACAUUCAUCAUUCUUACAGUACAAAUAUUUAUUUACCUUAUUUAAACAUUUCGUCAUGCAUACGAUUAAUAGUUGAUCUUCUUGAUUUCUUAUGUCGAAUGUGGGGGUCUGAGAUUAAAUCCGAUCCACUUUAAUCCUUAUUCCGAACGGGAUGAAAUUUAAUUUCAUAAGUCUUGUAAAUAUAAUGUAGACUAUAGAUUGGGUCAAAGAAUGUCGUUAGUGGUAAAUGACAUGUCGAACAAACAAUGAUAACAUGAGCACAUGGAAGACAGAGAGGUUGAAAUUUUCCACAGUCACACCACUGAUCAUCUAGUUUGACUGUGUAUGACAUAAGUCGACGUCGAAGUUGGGGAGUGACAAGUUCCUGAACAUCAAACUCUUAAUUUUCUCUAUUAUACCUUUGGACAUGAAACAUGAUAGACUGUUGUUCAUUUUUCCAUAGUAAGAUAGUAAUAUCUCCAGGAUAUUGAUGGUCAGUUCGUAACAUGUGUUGUGUCUUGGUCCCUCAUUCAAAAACCAAGAUUUGGUUCUUUCAAAAGUUUUCUUAACUAAAGCACAAAUCGGUAAGAUUCGUACUCCCUUAAGAAUAGAGAUCAUAGACUCAACCAUAUUUGUUGUCAUGUGAUCAUACCUCCUGCCUCCAUCAUAUGCCUGAGUCCAUUUUUCCAAAAGGUAUUUGAUUUAUUCAGGCAAAAGCUUGGUGAAAUUUUGAUUGUAGAGUCUACAACUUUGCCUAUAGAGUUGGUUGUUUCAUUUCAUACCCUAUGACAAUGAAAAAAAUGAGAUUUAAAGUUCAUGUCUUUCAUGAAUAUUGAUUAAUAAAAGGAAAACAAAAUAUAUACCCAUGUUUAUCAACGGUCUCUUCAACUCAACAUUCUUGAAUUUUUUUUAUUGAAAUUUGAUGCAAUGUGGCAUAUGCAAGGAGACCAUCUACUUCCCAGCCAACCUCUAAAGAUUGUAAUGUUGAUACUAUGACCAUUCUUCUAUCAGAUAUCAUGCAUAAAUUUUGUUGUGGUGUCACAUAUGUCUGCAACAAUCGGAAGAACCAUAUAAAUGCUUCCUUGGUUUCACCUUCAACUAUUGCAAAAGCUAAAGGGAAGACGUUUCGGUUCCCAUCUUGACCAAUUGCAGUUAGCAAAGUCUCAUGAUAUUUUCCAGUCAGAAAUGUUCCAUCAACUUGGACUAUAUGUUUGUAGUAAUUGAAGUCAUCAAUGCAUGACUUGAAAAUCCAAAAUACACGUUCCAUGAUGUAACACAAAGUGUCUUAAACAUCGUCUACAACAAAAGGUCGGGUGACAUAUUGGACAAUUGUGCCCGAGACACUUUCUUGUACAACCUGCAACCAUUUUGGAAGAUGAUUAUAUGAUUCAUCACAGUCAUCAAAUUUCAUGGCAAGCGCCUUUUGUUUUGCAAUUCACGCUUUUUUGUACAUGACAGAAUAUCCAUAAUGACUUUUAAUUUCUGCAAUUAAACGUCUUAUCGGGAUAGAUGGAUUUGCCUUCACAGAGUUCAUGACAAUAGAUGCAAUUUGGGUUGAGUCUAAAUUGAUGUGAUUAUCAAAAAAGUCGUUGGCAAACAUGUAUGGGGAGCUUGAAUUUUUUUAUCUCCCACCGAUCACAAAUUUCAGUAAAGGAUGCUCUAAGCAUUGGCAGUUGUUGUUGUAAUGAAUGCAACGUGCUACAUAUCGAUCCGUCUUGGACUCAACGACGAAAAACUUAUAACCUUGAUCAACGUUGUAUUUUUUUUAUUGCGGUCAAUAUAGACUCUUUGUUACAAAAAUACAUCCGUUCAGAAAGGUCAUAUUGAAUUAAUCGUCCCGAUCGACUAUCCAAAUGAGCUUGGUGGCUUAAUGACGUCAAAAAAACAAUUUCAUCGGAUAACUCCUCAACAUCUUCGUCUUCACUAAAUUCGUGAAUCAUAUCUAUGAUUAUGUGCUCUUCCUGAAUGGUUAUAAAACUAUUUAUUUAUAGGUUAUAUAUAUAUAUAUAUAAAUAAUAAUAUUAGAAGUUAUAAUAUGGUUUUUAUAAAAAAUAUCAGUCAUUAAUAUAUCAUUAUCCUAUGUACAUUAGAAUAAUCCUCCUAUGUAAAUGAGGAUAGUAAUUCCAUUCAAUGUUGUGCUUUGAAAUCAUGUAGUGCCAAUUGCAUCUCCACAUUGUCAUGGUCAUAUAUUCAACCAAAGUACUUCUGAAAUUAUUUCUCAAUUGACUAACAUAUAUUGCUUUAGGUGUUAGACUUUUAAGAUACUCUUUAAUAUUUUUAAAUAGUGUAUAAUUUAGGAAUAGAAAUGUUAACAUUAUUUUCAAAAUUUGGUAAACUCCAUCAAGAAAACACAGGUCAGGAUAUUCAUGAAAUUCUGUCCUGUGUUCUUCAAUUCAAAGUCCAGGUCCAUGUGAGUUCAGUGCAGUGUAAGUGGGGACCACGCCAAAUUUUCUCUUUCUAUACAUUUUUUGUCAUUAUUCUUUAUUAUUCUUAAUACUUCAACCAUAAUAUUUUUUAAAUUUUAUUUUAUUAAAUAAACCAAGUAACUACUCUACAAAUGUUAAUUUUUCUUUUAUUAAAUGGUGUGCUUUUUAUUAAAAUUCAUCAUUUUCUCUGUAAGUAUCUGCCUUUUCUUUUAAAACAAUUAUAUUUAAAUUUUUACCAUUCUCUCACGACUUCACAUUGGUCUUCGAUUUUGAAUGGCACAGGUGCAGAGAGUGUGGCCAGUUUUCUGAUGCAGUGGUUCACAAUGAAAAAAUUAUUUUCAUUUUAUUUAGCAGCUUUAAAGAUGACUUGCAGAGAUUUCAAACUCUGUUAUAGAUUGAAAAAAUUAUUUAUAAAAUAAAAUUUGUGCUGACUUAUAUAUUAUGUUUUAAUUUUUAUUUGAUGUGGAAUUUAAAAAGGUGUAUAAACUUUACAGAUGUAAGACACAUUGCUUGGAGGCUUCUGAUAUAAAUUUCAAAUAUAUAUAUNNNNNNNNNNNNNNNNNNNNNNNNNNNNNNNNNNNNNNNNNNNNNNNNNNNNNNNNNNNNNNNNNNNNNNNNNNNNNNNNNNNNNNNNNNNNNNNNNNNNAUAUAAAUUGAUAGAUAUUGAUGUGAUAGAUGAUGACAUGAAUAUAGUAAGAUGUAGUGUCGGUUAGUGAAGGUUCUAGAAUAGAAAUAGUCAACGAAGAAAUGUAUGUAUAUUGAUAACUAAUUUUUUUACAAUUUUCUAACAUUAUUAUUUUAAUAAUUUUUAUAUUAUUUAAUUUUUUAUAUCUUUUAUUAUGUAUAUUUAUUUUUAAAUUCAUCACAUUAAAAAUUUUAUACUCAAAGUAUCAUUUUCCAUAAAUAUAAUAUAAUUUCCGCAUAAAUCGUGGCAUUAAUAUAAUAAGGUGGAGUGUCUUUUCAGUGAAGUAUUUAUUUAUACUAGGAAUCAUGAAUCUGUAGUGAAUAUCCUGUGUGCUUCCUAGCAGCUGCAGAAUUAGACCGUCUUACACAAAAUAUCAGUGAUUAAGGAUCUGGCUUUUGUUGUUGCUAAUGUCCCAUGCUUAUAACCAAACAAUCUUAGGCUUCUAGUUAUGUGAAAUUUAAGGUUAAUCUUAUAAAAUUAGUUUAUAGUAUAAAGUUUAUAUCUAUCUAUAAAUUAUAAAAUAUUCUAAUAUUUAGUGGAUGUAGAAUCUUCAAUACACCUUCUACACAUUGUUGUUUUAGACUAUAUAUUAUGGAUAAUCCAAUGAUGAUCUAAUAAUAGGUGAUAUGAUAAGUCCAACAAACAUUCGUCAAUUAUGAUAGAAUUUAAAUGAUUUUAAUACCAUAUUAAAAAAACUUUAAAUCUAAUUCAAUUUUAUAAAAUUAGUUUAUAAGAUAAAAUUUGUACCAAUUUAUAAACUAUAAAAUGUGAUAUUUUUAGUCUAUAUGACUUAUUUGGUGCUUCGUGUAGAGACUGUUAGAUAUGAAAAGUGUAUAAAUAAGUACAAAGAAUUAAAAAUGAUGAGCAAAGUUUAAAAUGAAUGUUUCUUAUGGUUAUAGUAAAAUUUGUACAAUUAUAAUGUGUGAGGUCUAUGUGUUGGUUAGUUUGAUGUAAUAAAUUGGGAAUCAGUUAAUUCAGUUUUGAAAUUUAUUUGAGGUAACAGUCAUUGUAACUGGUUUUCUACUUGUGGGGUCUAAUUUGUAUAAUGGAUAUCAUCAAAACCUAAUAAUAUCUACAAGGACUAUUUUUCUUCCUGCACCCUAUUUUUUUCCCCACAACUUUUACAACAACCAGUUUUUAAGAUUUCUGAAUUAUUAAUAAUGGAGUUUUUCAAAUUCAAAUUUUUAUAAAAGAAUUUCUGGAAUAAAAUGUUUAGAAUGAGAUUUCUAAAACAAUAUUUUUAUUUUUUUUAUUAAUAAUAAAUUAAUUAAAUUAAACGAAGUAUUAACGAAAUGUUUAACCCUUUCAAAGAAACUCUCAAAACUUUUACACCUUACAGAUAAGUUAUAAGUUAUAACUUUUACACUCUCAAUAUUUGAAUUUUAUAAGUUAUAAAAUAAUAGAAAAUAAAAUAAAAUACCAUAUGUUUAUCAUACGAAGAAGGUUGUGAGUAGUGAAGUUUGUUUUAAUAAUUAAUAUCAUUCAUUAAUUUUACACGCAUUAUAGAAAAAUAAUAAAAUAUUAAUUUUAAUAUAUUUUAUGAUUAAUACACACUAAUAUAUUAGAAUAAAAUAUCAUAUGUAUAAAGUAAAACACAAGUCCUUUUCUCAUUCAUGUUUCUCUACACCAUUGCAACGCCCCUUCAAGCACCAUCAAUGACCGAUUUUAAAACUGUUUUUGAAAUAAUAAAAUAUAAAAAAUAAGAUAAAUUGGUCAUACAUAUAUCUAAAUUUUAUUUAAAUAUAUAAAAAUUAUAUAAAAUAAUAAUAAUAAUAAUAAUAAUAAAAUAUUUUUUUAUCAUGUUAAAGUAUAAAUAAAAGUUUUAAUCAUUAGACAGUAAAUAUAAGAUGAUAUGGAUGAUUGUACAUAUAUUUAAACAACUCUUUAACCUCUUUAAUGUAUAUAAAAGUAGUAUAUAUUAUACAAUUACAUUAAAAGAAUGGAUAAAAACUUAACUAAAAGACUUGCUAAAUGGGAAGUUCUUUUAUAAAAUUACAUAUAAAAGAAGGCACCAAGGAUGCAAUUUAAUACAUUUUACUAAGACAGUGAUAUGACAUGAAAUAUGCAGAUUCAGAAAAUAUGAGUAUGUGAAGAAAAUUGGAAAGGGACAAAAGUUAUUUGGUUGCUGAGUUUUUUUGGCAGUGGUAGGGAAUGGAAAAACAGUUUUAACAUUAUUUUCGCAAAUUUUAACCAUUUAUUAUAGAAGAAGGGAAUCUAACUAUAUAGAGAUUAAAUUCCCAACUACUUUUUUCUUGUUUUCGUUACUAAAAUCUUAGUACAAUUUCGUUUUUGGGAAGAUUGGUUUCUCGAAGAUGAAAUUCCGGAAAGUUUUUUAUGUUUUUUUUUAAAUAAAAGUUUUUAUGUUAGACAUUAUUAUGCAACUUACAUCUCAGUUAGGUUGACACCUCCAAAUAACAACAAUCAUUUGUCAUCACAUAAAAAAAUAUUAUUAAAAAAAAUAAAAACAAAAAUAUAGAGAAACUAUAUUAAAAUGCAUAGGUUAAAAAAACACAAUAUAUAAGUAUAUUAUACCUAUUCAUAAAUAAUUCUAAGAACAAACUAUAUGGAAACCUAUUACACCAAUGAAAUUAUUCUCUAUGAAUAAAUCGUAAAUUAGUCAUCUUAUCAGCACGUACAUUCUCUUCACGAAAGAUAUAAGUAACCUUAAACUUGAUUUUCCCACAUUAAUUAAGACAAGUAUUUCAUCGAUUACGAAACAUCCAAAGAACAUUUGUCCUAGCAGUAAACACAUCAUAAAUCAAGGCAGAAUCACAUUCUAAUCUGACAUUAGUAAGCCCCAACUUUUGAGCUUCUUCCAUAGCAUCUAUAACUUCAUAAAACUCAGCAACCAGAGCAAUCUAAAUUUCAAGAAACGCAGAGAAAACUCCAAUAAAUUCCUCCAUACUCUCACGAAAAAUACCUCCACAAGUAGUAAGAUUAGGAUAUCCCCUAGCAACCCCAUCAGUGUUAAUUUUAAUCCAUCCUGAUGAAGGAAACUCCUAUCUAACAGGAAGAUGACAAAGCUUUACAAGUACAAGUAUUAAUACCAAAAAACUUAAUCACGUUGAAAUCCAACAUACCAUUCUUUAUUGAAGUUUUAGACGAAUUUCCCACUAGACAAGUUAAAUCUUUAAUAACCGAAAUAGCCCUAAAAAUCUCAAUCUUAUCCUGAAAAACGAGCAUAAUUCCUCAUACGUUAUAACAUCCAAAUAGAAAAAGUUAUAACAUCCAAAUAAAAAAAGUUAUCACAACAAGUUUAAUCAAUUUAACCAAAUGACUACCAUCACUCUUAAUGAAAGAAAGAAGAUCAUCCUUAUUAGAUAAAUGAUAGAAAAAAUUUGUCGAACCCAACUCCAAAUAUGCAAAACAUUAGAACAUUCAAAAAAUAAAUGUUGAAUAAAUUCCUUGUUCUUUUCACAAAGUGUACGCAUAGAACAAAUAGGAAGCCGCCUAUGAAAAACUUUCCAAAGUACAAGAGUUUUGGAAGGCAGAAUAUAUAAAAACCAAAUAAAUUUACCCCAACCACAAGAACUCAUGGUUCCAAGAAGAAAGGUCAAGCUGAUUUAAAAGUGAAACGAUCAGACUCAUCUAGAAUCCAAUUAGGAAUAUCUUGUUCCCCUGACCUGAUAUCGCUAAAAAGAUUAGACAUCUACGAUAAAGACAAUGAAAUAUUUCAAUCACAACCUGUCCAAAAUUGAGAAACUGUAUCCAAAAUGCUAGCACCAUCAAAUAUCUCUGCAAUAUUUGCUAAAGAAGUAGUAGAACACCAUUUAUCAUUCCAGAAAUUAAUAUUUUAAUUUAAUGUAUAUUUUAAAAUUUGAAAUUUGAGUUGAAAAGAGUUGGACACAUGGAUUGCACAUCCAAUUUCAUUUAUUUUAGAUUUUUAUUUAAGUAGAAAAUAAAAUAAUUUAAGAUUUUAUAUUUAUUUAGAAUUUUGAAAACCUUAAAAAUUUUAUUUAUUUGAGAUUUUUAUUUAAAUAAGGAUUUGUAUUUAUUUAAAAUUUUGAAUAAUUUAGAAAUUUUAUUGUAUUUCAGAUUUUAAUUUACAUAGCACAUUAAAUAAUUUAGAAUUUCUGUUUAUUGAGAUUUUAAAUAAUUUAAAUAUAUAAAAUUUCUAAAUUAUUUAAAAUUAUAAAUAAAUAUAAAUCCUAAAUUAUUGGAUAUUAUACUAAAUAAAAAAUUUACAGUAAAUAAAAUUUAAAAAUUAUUCAAAAUGUCAUGAUUUUGUCUUUCAAUAAACCUCUCCACAAAUAUUUGUAGAGAAGAAAAGAAACAAAAUUAAAUUUAGUCAUAACUCGUGUAAAAUUAAUAUAGAAAACUUCUAUAAUUAAUUGAAUUUGUUUAAAUUAAAUUUUCCAAGAAAACAAUUUUAGAAGAAAAGUAUAAAAAUAAAAUAAAUCUGUUAAUAAACUAAUUUAUAAAAAAAAAUCGUAUUAGCUUCUACAAAAUCUAAUCCUAAAUUUAUGUAUAAGUUUAUUGCAAUUUAUGAAAAAAUAACAAAUACCCAGUUCAGUAAAAAUUGCUAAAAGACUGGUUUUAUAAUUAACAGAAAAUCUACAUUCCAACUUCAAAAUUAGAAUAUUAUAAUUUAUAAUCAAUUAAUAUUAUAGAAAUGUAGAACAAUUUAGUUUAAUUGCCAAAGAGUACUGACUAAAGAAUUUAUAAAAGAAACAUAAAGAAGUACAAUAAUUUAUAAAAGAAACAAAGAAAAUAAAUAAAAAAACUUAAAAGAAACUAAAAGAAAAUAUUAAUAAAAGUGAUGAGCAGUACAUCCAAGAAAACCAGAAGAAAGUUAUUUCUCUAACUUCCUGAUUUCAUUGAAGAUUUUAUCUCAAGUGUUUCUAACGCAGGAGCAUAUUCAGUUGUUAUUUUCUCCCUGAAGGCUUCGGCCCGGCUGAUCUCCAUUAAUAUUUUCCUCUCUCAUUUUCUCAGGAACAGACGUCUCUAAUCCUGUUCUUGGCAACUCAGUAUCCCAACUUUUAAAUUGGCGAUCAAAUUAUAUGUAAUUAGUGUAGGUAAUAUUGUACCAUAUGUACUCAUAUGUAAUUAUAUAUAAUUAAUUUAAUAAUAAUAAUAGAAUCUCUUAAUUAAAUUCAGUAUCUCAAUUCAGUAGUGUAAUAUAAAAAAAAAUAUAUAAUUAUUCUAAAUUUUCAAUUUUAAAAUGAACACUCAUUAAUUAAACAAAAAAAAUUAAUAAUUACAUUAAUAAAAUAAUUAUAUUAUUAUUUCUAUUUAUAAAAUUUAAAUAUUCAAAUUCUCAUUAAUAAAUCAAAAUUUGGAUUAUUAUAAUAUAUCAAUUUGAUUCUAUUAUUUAUAUUUUUAUAAUUUAAAUAGAUUUUGUAUUUAAAUUGAAUUUUAUUUAUUAUACUAUAAGAAAAUAAGUAUAAUUUUCUCCUCUCUAUAUAAAAGAUUUCUCUAUUUAGAAUUUAAAUAUUUUCCAUUCAUAUUAAGAUAAGGUUUUGAAUGUUUUUAUUAAAUUUAAAAAUAAUUUUUGGCUUCAUUAUAAGUUUGGUUCUUAUAUUUUAUUUUAAAAUUUCUAGAUUCAGAAUUAUUGUUUUGUAUUUUUACUUUUUAAUUAAAUUCAAACGACUCAUUAAUUCAACAUAACAUUACGCGGAUCUUGAAAAUUUAAGCUUUUUGAAAUGUAGAUUAAACUUUACUUUUAUUCCCACUCCAACAAUUACUAUUCACACUCCCCUUCUCUUUUUAUAUUUUAAUUAUACAUGCUCGGAUAAGUAAUAAUAGUAACAAAGUAAAAGUUUACAUUCCAACUAUCCAUGAUUUUGUAUGUUACAGUGCUCAAAAGUGAAACUUCGAUAUAACCAUCAAAACAAAUAUAAUGAAAACUGAAAACUACAUCACAUAUAUCUUUGAGGACUUUCAUCAAACAAUUAACGGACAUUAGUAUUUAAUUAUUUUUAUAAUUACUUUGAGGAUUCACUAGUACACUACACCAAGAAUAAUGUGUUCUAAUAUCAUAGGAACAAAUCGAGAGAAGCAGAUUAAACUCUUUUUUUUAUUAAAGUUAGAAACAGAAUACACUUACACAGAAACUUAAAUUACACAGAAAUUUAAAGCUAGAAACAUAAACUACUUAUAAACAGAUACUACUUAAAGAAACUAAAACUAUUUACUUAGCUUCUUGAUUUCUGCGUAGAUCUUACGUCUAUCUCCAAUUGCAUAUAUUCCUAUUGCUUCUAAAUUUCCAUUUCGAUAUGUUAUUAGGGGAAGUGCUUUUUCAUCGAUAUGAUGUUUCUCGAACUCAGGAGCAUAGUGACUCAGCUCUAUCUCUAUAUUGGAAGUGUGUUCCAUAAACACCAGAAGUGUGCUAGAAGUUUCUGGAGAAUAACAGAAACUUUCAUUUUUUUGGCACCAGUUAGUAGAACAAUCCAGAACACCACCUUUUUUUUUUUGCUUCUACUUUAAUUUAAAUAUAAAAUAUUACUUACAUUACUUGUUUUAAUUUAAUAAUAACGCUUAUUUUAAUACUUAUUCUUUUAAUAAAAAAAUCAUUUUGUUUAUAAUUUUAAAAAGUUUAUAUUUAAACUUUAACUAUUUUUAAUUCUAAUCUAUGUAAUAUUUUAAACAAAAUAUUAAGAUGUCAUUCACUAAUGUUUAAAAAUAUUUUUAGUUUCCAAAAAAUUUAGAAAUUUUGCAUUUAGAUCCUAACAUUUUUUAAACUUUUGGUUGCUUCUAAUACAUUAUAUGCAUUGACAUUAUUUCAUGAUUAAAAACACAUAAUUUGCUGAUGAUAAAAAAAUUGAAAAACUAAAAGAAAUAUCUACAGACAUUUUAAAAAUUACUUUAAAAAAAUAAUAUAAUAAUAAGAACGGAGUAUAAAUAAAUCUUUUCAAAGACUAAAUACAAAAAAUGUAUAAACAUUUUAAGAAUAAAAAAAUACAUUAACAACUAGAUACAAAGUUCGAAAAUUUUUUAGAAAUUAAAACAUCUUUAAAUCUUAAAAAUAUUAAGAAAAUUAAUAUCUUUCCUAGAUAUAUAUUUAGAAAUUAAAGGGGUCUAAAUGAAUUUUAUUUAAAAUUUAUUGGAUGCAUGAGCAAAAGUGUAUGAAUUUCAUUAUACGCAUCAACAAAGAGUAUAAAUUUUAAUGUAUGCAUAUGAUUCAAGUUAUAAAAGUUAAAAACAUUUUUCCCAAUAUUACUGUUUGUUCUAACUCCUAAUCAAAUAUAUAUAUAUAUAUAUAUAUAUAUAUUAUUAUCAUAUGAUUAUUUUACUUUAUUCAAUUUUAAUAAAUAAAAUAGAAACUAACCAAGUCAUUUAAAGUCAAGGCAAAUGUUUUUCUAAAUUAUACAUUUUCCUUUGCAUGAAUAAACCCACACAAAUAAUAAAAUGAUGAUAAUAUAUGUAUUGUCUAAUUACUGAUGCCAAAAAUCAUUUUCACCUACAAAAUCGAUCUUUUAACCAUUACUCCUCUCGGAGUUUUAAUUUGAUACAAAUUUUUCCUGUAAUAUAUCAUUUUUUAUAUGCGACUGAAUUAAUUUUUUAAAUCCAAUUUUACUCUUGUUACGUAUUUGUUUACAAAUGUUAAUAUUCAGAAGUCACAUAAUUAAUUAUGAAUAUUGAUAUCCGGAAGUGUCAACUUUGCAUAUGGAUAUUGGCAUUCGGAAGAGUCAGCUUUGUCUAUGGAUAUUGGCAUCCGGAAGUGUCAGUUUUACCUACGAAUAUUGGCAUCCGGAACUAGCACUCUUUGACUACGGACAUCUUUAUCCAGAAGGCACCAUCAUGCUUCCGGAUAUACAUAUCUGGAAGCAAAUCAUCUUGAACUUUAUGUUUGGGCAGUGUGAUAUUUUGCUACUUUUAAUGGAUUAAAACCAUUAAACCAAACCAAACACUAAUUUGAUCAUGCGCAAGGUCGACUACCAGUAAGGCAUAGUAAGGCUUGCAUGAUUUGGUGUAGAAAAUUUUACUUAUCAGUAUUCUUUUGUUCAUUGCUAAGAGUUAAGAUAUCAUGCAUCAAUUGACUCGUCCUUAGGUUUUGACGGAAGGAAGAUCGUUUUGGCCUCUUGGAAAAAGGUUAGUGAGCCUCGCGAUAUCGGGGUAUUGGAAUUAUGAUCUAAGGAUUUUUAACUUGGCUUUGUUAGGAAAGUGGAUUUGAAGGUUGGGUUCGGAUAAGAGUGGUUAAAAGGUUAAAAGACGACGGUUAUUUUCAAUUUUAAACGGCGCGCAUUUGAUGUACACGUAGUCUUAAAUCCAAUAGAUAAGAAUAUGGCUAUUUAGCCGCAUUAGUAAAUACGAUUUAUAAAUGCGACUAUUGUAAAUAGCCGCAUUCUUAUUUAAAAAAAUAAAAAAAAUAAAAAACGCUAAAUCCUAAACCUUAACCUAAACAUUAAAAUAAAAAUUUAAAAUUUAAAACACCAUCAACCUUGUGCGUGAAAGGCAGCAACGACGACAACAGUGGAGGCAGCAACAGCAGCGGUAGCAGACGCGACAACAGAGACAUAAACGACGGCGGCAGCAAACGCGAAGACAGCGACGGAGCAAAGCAAAAACCCACACAAGUAGUAACAAAAUGCAAUAAACACAAAGUAAGAGAAACGAAAAAAUUUAUAAACCAUUAGUGAAGAAGAAAGAGAGCUCCAACGAACUUAUAAUGACACGAGAAGACAAUGAAGCUCGCAAAAGAAGAGAGGAACACCAUAACAAAAACGAAGAGAAAACGCAAAGCGCUAAGAAAAAGAAAGUAUGAAAGUGUAAGUGACGCGCUUCAGAAUUAGAGUAAAAAAUGAUUUAAGUAUACGGCUAUUACAAAUAACCGCAUUCGUAAAUGAAGUUAAGUUUUUAAUAAAUUCUACUUUAUUUCAUUUAAUAUCUUUAUUUAUUAGGAAGAAAUUGGAUAUUAACCAUAUGCUUUUAAGAUGAUAAUGUCUAUAAGACAAUUGAGCUAAAUUUAGAUAUUAAAAUAAGAAAGUAGAGUAUGAAAGCAUAAGAGAAGUGUAAACCACACCAAGAAUAACUUAUUUCAGUCUGAUUAAGUCUCAUUUUACACUAAAAUUUAUUCAUAAGCAUGAUCAUAAGAGAAGCCAAGUGAACAACUAAUAAAGGUUUCCACGUUUCUUGAAGGGUCACAAACUUAAAACUUGACGAAGUUCUUUUCCUUCAAGCUCUCCACAGUAUCCUUGAUGCUCACUUCCAAAGGAAUAUAUUCAAUCCCCAAGCUCUUUGCUUUUUCCUUCGAAACCUGAAAUGCUGGAUCAUAUGGCUUAUCAUCUACGCACCUGGUAAUAUUGUUCACAAAGUGAAACCAUAUUAGACGACUAACAUAUAACAAAAGGAAAAACUUACUUUACUAACAAACAAGAUGGUUUAAACCUUCUGAUAGAAGAUUAGACGGUCUAAUGUAAACAAACAGACUAGACUAGACUGUCUGCUGUUGAAUUGAAUAAACUGACCAGACUGUAUGGUGUAAAACCGUCUACACCGAUUUUAUCACCAGUGCUGAAUGCAUUUCUGACACCAAAUUCAGUUUUCAAGCAAGUAAAUAAAGCACCAAAUGGUAAGGUACAACAGAUGCGGACUUAUGUUCACGUUCUACAUAAUUGUUUGCAAUCUUGAAACUACCAAAAUAAUUAUACUCACUUCUCUGGAAGUUGCAAUGUUGGGUACAGAUCACGUAAAAUCUUCACAACGUUUGAGAAGUGUGUCACUCUCUCAACUAGCAGAUAUCUUCCAUUAGCUGAAGCACUCUCAUACGCUAGAACAUGGGCCAUUGCAACAUCUCUCACGUCCACCCAUCCCAAAGUUAUAUUUUUAAAUGUUGGCGAACCUAAAUCGAGGAGAUGGAACAGUUUCUUCAAUUAUCUAAGAAUUGUUCAGCCAAGAAUCAUAACACAGGUUGUUGAAAAAUCAUAACAUAUUAUUAGUCCUCUCUUUCAUAUUCCAUUUUAAUGUAUGUUUUUUAUUUGAUCCAUAACAUUAACAUAGUUUGAGUUGAAAAAAAUUAAUCAAGAUGCAGGCAAAUCAAAUAAUAGGCAUUUUAGAGAAUAACGUAUAAACAGUAAUUACCAUCAACUAAAUCUAAGACCAUAGCAGAACUAGUGUUAAGUUCUGGUUGCAAGAGAGGUCCAACAACCAAUGCCGGGUUCAUUGUAACCAAGUCAAUGUUGUUUUCUUUCACAAAUUUCCAGGCAGCAUCUUCGGCCAAAGUCUUUGAGAGGUUAUACCAUAUCUAAAACAUAAAUUGGAAAUAGCAAGAAAUAUGAAGAACAAGGUAACAUAAUAUACAUGACUAACUAUAACACUUUGAUGACUUUUGAAUAAGUGAACAAGGAGUGCAUAAUCUCAAAAUUACAACAAACAUAAUUUAGUCAUAAGAAGCAAUAUCUAGUCUUCACAUGGGAUGCAACUAAAAUAAUUGUUGGUGUUUACUUAUGCUUUGUUUAAGAAACCUACUACUCAGUAUUUUUGUAGUUGUCCGCUAUGCACCUCUAUCCGGGAUUUUAAACCAUUGGCUUUAACAUCAAAAUUUAAUAGGAAAAACAUUAGCCAUAUUGCGGAAAGCUUUUGUGCACUAAGAUGCUUUGGAAAGCAAAGAAUAGAAGACAUUCUCAUAUGAAAGUUAUUGGUUGUGAUCCUCGUGAGAUACUUUGUUCGAUUUUUUCAUAAAUGGUGUUAAUUAAGCCAAUGGUUUCUUUGAAGGAUCUGACUCACAUAUAUAUGUGGAAGUAAAGAGCAAUGUUGCAUUUAUAUUUUUCUUUUAAUAUACGUAUUGCAACUUCCAGAGAAGUGAGUAUAAUUAAAAAAAAAACUGGUUAUACUUUUUAGGCCUUGUUAUACCAACUACUACACUUUUUAAGUUUUUCAAUUUAUGACUAGUUCAUACAGUUUGAUAUAACAACUCAAGAUGCAAUACAUCUUAUAUGAGAACUAUGAUUUUCUUCUUUCUCUUGACUUUUGCAAUAUGGGGGAUUGUUGUGAACUCUAAGUAUUACAAAAGUCAAAUAGUGAAACUAGUGAAGUGAGUAUUACACUAUGAUUGUCAGUUUUACGCAUGAAGUUAUGGACCUCAUUUUGGCGUUCCGUGCACGGUUCAAUAUUUUUAGACAGUUAGUGAAUGCAUAGCACAACGGUAUAUCUCAAUCUUCAAAAACAAUUAAUUGUUAUCUUCUAAAAAGCACAAAACUUGAUCAUACCAACUAUUUGUGUGAUUCUUCAAAGAAGUUUCAUCUCGGUAAUAAGGAUUAACAUGUAAAGAAAGUUUAUUAGGGGAAACAGCACAUACCCCAUUUUCCUUACAGUAUUCUGGGUCGGAAUACCAAGUCUCGUCAACCACAACAUCAGGGGUUUUAGGCCUGUAGUUGAACGAAACUGCAGCAAUGGAAGAAGUUAAAACGACGCGUUUCAGCGUGGGCGACUUCACACACGAUUUCAGAACAUUCAGAGUCCCCUUCAAAGCUGGAUCCAGCAACUCAACCUGAAAUACAUAAAGUAAAAACAAAAUAUUAUACAGCCACAGAUAAAAAGAAUGCGCAAACGGAAUUGCAAACGGGAACAAACCUGCGGGUCCUUGCUCUCGUGAAAAAAGGGAGAAGCAGUGUGAAACACAGCAUGACAACCUUGAACGGCAGAGUCAAAGGAACCUUCUUCUAGAAGAUUCGCCUUCACCAGAUGCAAUCUCUCCUUGGCACCAUCAAGGUUAAGCAAAUGAUCUACCUUUUUGGGAUCACCUGCACAUCACAUUUUAUCCAAUCUUUAAUCUUCGAAUGCAUCACCAUCAACACAAAUAAUCACCGAGAAAAACAAAAACUAUAGAAGAAAAAAAAAAGCACAUACUUAGGUUGCGAACAGUGGCCUUAACCGUGUAACCGCGUUGGAGAAGAAACUUGACGAGCCAGGAAGCGAUGUAACCGGAGGCGCCGGUAACACACACUACUUGUCCAGCGCCGGUGCUCAUUCUGGAUUAUCUUCUUCUGCUCUGAUCUGAGUGUUGAAAUGUGCUGUGUUGAGUCACUCUCAGACUGAGAUUUUUAUAAGAACCAAAGUGUUUUGAAAAGAGCGCUAGAAAUGGAUAAAUAAAUAGACAUGCGAAAAACGCGUCCCACAUCGAUCAAGUUAAAAUAUAGUUCAUCCUAAAUUUGAGAAUAAUGUAAAGAAAACAAUUUAUUUUCCAUUUAUAGAAAAAUACGAAAAAUAAUAUUAAAUAUCAUAUAAUAGUUAUAAAGGGUUUAUACUCCUAAUUAGGCUGUGUUGAGUCUGUAUACAAAUGAUGCACCGUGAGGUUAAAAAAUUUUAUGAUAUUUUUCUAAUCUCUUAAAAUUAAUUUAUUUGUAUAUUGAGUUUUAAAAUAUAGUGUUUAUUUUUUUUACUUAAAUAAAUAAAAUUAGGUUUUUAAUAUUUAUAAAACAAAUAAAUUUAAUAUUUCUGAUUCCUCUAUAUUAAAAAUAAUUAAUUGUUUAGAAAGCGUUAAAAUGAUGAUAUAAUAUGGUAUCCGCAUGUGGAACAAAGAAAGAUUUAUACGAUUUAUAAAAUGAAUGUUUUUUUAUCUAUUUAGAAGUAAAUUUUAAUGGAACAUAAUUCAUAAAUUUUAUACGAAACAAAAAUAUUAAUUUUAAUUUUUUUAGAAAAAUAUUAUAAAUAAAAUUAAAAUCUGAAUUAUUUUUUAUGAGCUAAAAAGUUAUUUAUAAAAGAAAAUUGUAAUAAUUAAAGUUCUCAACUUUUAUAUAUAUAUAUAUAUAUAUAUAAAUAAGUAUAUUAUGAAACUAACAAGAUUUAGAAACAUAUUAAAAUAAAUAUUAAUUGUAUGUUUAAUUGAGUGUUUGUGGACAAGUUCGUGUCUUUUAUGCUUUCUCUCAUUAUCAAAUUACUCAAAUUUUAAAGAGUUUUGGGCUUACCUUUUGAUAAUUUUCAACUUACUUCCACCGUACGAUCUUUCAUUUUGAUUGUGAGGUACGAUAAAAAAAAAAUGUAAAUUAUUUGUAGCAUUUUUUUUUUAAUUUUGUUUUAUGAAAUACAUUGGCUUUGAUUUUGUUAACACUCAAUUUACUUGAAGUUCAAUAAAAAAAAUCUUUAUCUUCUUUAGUUUGGAUGAUUGAUAAGUAAAAUUUUAAUUUAAAUAUUUAAAGGUCUUUGUUUUGUCUAUAUAAACAAUUCAAAAAGAUAUAUACAUAUAAACAUUUAAUCACAAUAAAAUACAAACACAUAAAUUCACUUUUUUUUUCUUAGUAGACAAUUAUAAGAUUGUUUGUCAUAAAAUGUUUCCAAAUAUGAAUAAAAUGGUUGAUAAAGAUAAUGAUUUGAACACUUAAUUUUAUAUACAAAAUAUUUGAUUGUUAUAAGUUGUUGUCCAAAUUCGUGUUAAGAACUCAUAUUGUCUACUAUUUGUCAAAAGACUCAUAGAUGGUCUAGUAAUAUUAGACUUUGUGGAACCUAGAGGACUAGACUAUCUUAGGUGUCAACACAUCAAUCUUGAUUCCACAUAGAGUUUGGACUGACUCAAUACGCCCAUCAGUCGACAAACACCUAGUAAAUGAAAAAAACACUUUCACGGUUUAAAUGGAAAGAUUUACACGCGAUAGGAAUAGAAACAAUUGGAGAUAAACGUACAAUUUAAAAAAAAUCAAAGAAGCUGAAUAAAUCUUUAGGUUUCUAGUUUAUAUAAGUUUCUAAUGUGUAAGUUUUGUUUUGCAAAUUCUGUGUAAGUUUCUACAAAAAUAAAUUUAAAUAAUUAUAAUUUUUCAGAUAAUAUUUUUAAUAUAAUAAUUAAAUACUUUUUUUCUAAAAUUUAUUUAUAUUUAAUAUUUUUUUAAAGGCGUUAAUUAAGUCAAAAUAACAUUAAAAGCCGAUUGACUAAUUUGUGGAAAAAGAAAAGUAAGAAAUUUUCAAUUAUUUCGUUUAUAAAACCAUUUUAAAAGUAGAAAAAGUAAUUAAAAUAAUUGUUUUAAAUAAUCAGAUAAUUAAAUUAAUUGUGUAUAAUUAUGUACAAUAUUGUACGUACAAUAAUUGCAUACCAUAAUUAUAUUUAAUUUUAUAAUUAUUAUUUCCUUAAUACCUUUGGCUAUCUCGUUCAAAGUUGUCACACUUGUUCUACUUUAAUAUUUGAUAUUUAUGUUGCACAUUUCUUGGAUUACUCAUAUCUCAUAUAUCUCUUGUCCUACAACACAUUCCUCUUCACCAUCAUUUCCAUACCCAAGUCUUCUCGUAUCUUCUAUAUCUCUUAUCCUACAACACUCCUCUUUCACACCCAAGUCUUCUUCUUUUUGUCACCUAUGACCGAAAAUUCAUCGAGCAACACGCAACUGAAGCAAAACUCGCAGUUCGAUAUAAGAACUUGACUUUCCAACAUAGAGGUCGAACUAGUUCAAUACGUCCAUCAAUUCGAGAAACACCUAGCAGAUGAAAAAACACUUUCACGAUUGAAAUGGGAAAAUUUAGAAGCGAUAGGAAUAAAAUCAAUUGGAGAUAAACGUUAAAAUUUACAAAGAAAUCAAGAAGCUGAAUAAAUAUUGUAGUUUCUAGUUUAUAUAAGUUUCUAGUUUCGCAAAUACUGUGUAAGUUCUGUUUUAUAAUUUCUGUUUGUAAAUUAUGUUUUGUAAAUUUUGUGCAAGUUUCUAUAAAAAUAAAUUUAAAUAAUGAUAAUUUUUUAGUAUAUGAUAUACUAUCUAAUCUUUUUAAUAUAAUAAUUAAAUAUUUUUUUUCUAAAAUUUAUUUAUAUUUAAUAAUUUUUUAAAAGCAUUAAUUAAGUCAAAAUAAUAAAAGCCGAUAUAAACAGCAUAAAAUAAGACUAAUUUGUGAAAAAAGAAAAAUAAUUUUUUUUUAAAUUAUUUUGUCUAGAAAACCAUUUUAAAAGUAAAAGAAGUAAUUAAAAUAAUUAUUUUAAAUAAUCAGAUAAUUAAAUUAAUUGUGUAAAAUAUUGUACAUAUAAUAAUUGUGUUUAAUUUGAAAAUUAUUAUAUUUUCUUAAUUUGACUCUACUGUUCAAGGUGAUUCAAGGUUGUGACGCUUGUUUUCAAUAUUUAUCUACUGUAACUUUACACUUAUUGGGUUGCUCAUAUCUCUUAUCCUACGGCACACUCCUUUUCACCAUCAUUUUCACAUCCAAGUCUUUUUCUUCCGUUACCUGUGGCCGAAAAUUCAUCGAGUAACUCGCAGCCGGAGCAAAACUCACAGUUCGAUAUAAGGACUUGGCUUUCCAACAUAAAGGUUGGACUGGCUCAUUACGUCCAUCAGUUUGAGAAAUACCUAAUAGCUGAAAAAGCACUUUCACUAUUGAAAUAGGAAUAUUUACACGCGGGCAUUAAUUGAAGAUAAAUGUAAAAUUAACAAUGUGUAGAAGUAUGUUUUAGAUUCUUUUGAGAGCAGGCAUAUAUUUUUUAUAACUGAUUUAAAAGAAUUUGUUUUUUAUUUUUAUAUCAUAAUAAAAAUUUAUACAAUAAAUUUGAGUUUUAGAAAAUUAUUGUAUUUAUACCUUUUAAAAUUGUGUUAUAGAACCAUGCUAGAAUUUUCAAAAAUCCAAUAAAUAUUUAUUGAAUUUAACACUUCACCGAUAAGUGUCCUACGAGUGUUUACGAGUGUCGACACCAAUACGUGUGUCCGACACAGAUACGCCAUUUAAGAGAGUGUCUGAACCUUAUACAUCAAAAUUCCAAAAAUUUUAUACCAUCAGAUUAUAAUUCUCAAUAUUAUUAUUUUAAUAUUUUUUAUAUUAUUAAAUAUAAAUUUAUUUUUUAUUACCACAUAACAAUAUAUAUAACUUUAGCUCUAAAAGCUAUAAAACUAUUAUUUUCCAAAUCAAAACAUGAAAAGCCUAGAGGCAAUAUUUCAGAAUCUUUUUCAAUUAAAUUGUUUGGAAGUGAUGCCUUAACUGUAGCUGUUAAUAAUUUAUUAUGCUAGUAAUUUCGUGCCUAGAUGUUCAUGUCCGUACAUACUCAUUUUAAUACUUUUUAUCUUUUCAUAGUUUCUAAUAAACUCAUAUCCUCGUAAAAAAAACCUCACGUGUGUCAAUUAGUAUAUUUAUAGAAUAUCAAAUUAUAAAUAAAUUGGAAUGUCGGUGAUUUUAUUAGAGAAAAUACUGACAGGUCCAAGUUAUUUUUGUUACAAUAAAGUAUAUAAAAAUAAAUUUUUGAUACACGUAGUUGCUUCAGUUGAUAUUAGUAGAUGCAUACUUACUUGUUUAUGUAUAUUUGUUUUAUAGGUUUUAACUUUUAUGUAAUAAAAUAUUGUUUUUGGUAUUUCAUUUUACAACCUUAAUAUAUUAAUGCUUAUACUUUCUCUAACCAUCAAGACAAUUUUACAAAAAUUGUCAAUAUCAUAAUAUGUAUUAAAGAAUAAGGUGUUAACAUUACUUUAUGUCUACAACCUUCUAGAAAUAACAAUUUAUCAUUUCUACAUAUUUUUGUACGUAGUCAAUCAAUUUCGUAUACUUAUAUAAAACUAAUAAAUUAUAUUUUCGUAUACUUAGAUUAAUAAAUUAUGUUAUCAAAAUAUUUAUUCAUAUAAAAAAUAUAAAUAUGUAUUUAAUGUCGUGGACAUAUAAGUUAUGUUAGUAUUAGAAUGUUCCUUCAAAUAGAAAUAUACAUUUAAUGUUUUAUGAAUAACAUUUAUUACAACCAUUAAAUCUAUAAGGACAAACGCAAUUAUAAAACGAAAUAAUUCCUUUUGUCUUACAAUAUCAAACGGCAAUGACACAACUCUAUUUAUAUAGAAGAUAUUUAAAAAAAAAAAGUUGAAAAUUUACACAAACUUACAAAGUUAUAAACAAAUAUGAAUGAAGUUGAAAUAUUAAGCGUGUUCUUUAGCAAUCUAAAUAGUGAACUUUAUCUUGUAUAACACUUAUUUUAGUGAAUAAUUAUAUAAUUGUUUGAUCACAUUAUAUUGUAACCAAAUAUUUAUCAGGAGUGAUUGUGUUUUAAACAAUUUUCAGUCUUAAUUAAGAACUAUUGUGAUUCAAGUAUUUUUAUCGGAAUGAUUGUGUUCCAAACAAUUUUCAGUCUUAGUUAAGAACUGUUGUGAUUCAAACAAUAUUUAGUUUUAACCAAUAUUAUGUUUAAACAAUACUCAAUCUUAAUUAAUAGUGACUAUUUAAUUGCUCAAACAAUAUUCAGUUUUAAUCAUAUUCAAAGAGUCUUAACUAAUAGUGACUAUUUUUCAAAUGAUACUUGGUUGCUGAGUCACAAGUGAUUAUAUUUUAAACAAUACUUGAUUGGUUGUUUAAUAAAUAAUAAUUGCAUUCCAAAUAAUACUUCCACUACUCGAUUUUUUAAUUUAGAUAAUAUCUAAAAAAUAUUAUUUAAAAUAAUAUCUUUAAUUUUAGUCAACAAUUUAAAUAACGUUUUCUUUUAUUUUUUUCUAUCACUACUAAAAAUUAUCAAAUAAAAAUUAUUUUUUAAAGAUAAAAUGUAAAAAUAAUUAAUUACUAUAUUAACUAAAUUAGAGAUUAUUUUAAAAAUUAAAAAAUAUUUAAUUUUUAAAUUAAUUUCUAUUAUUAUUAAAUAUAUUUUAGUUUACAUAGUAACUAAUUUAAAGUUUACAUCCCAAUUAAAAGUUUACAUUACCCUUUUGUAUAUUACAGUGCUAAAAAGUGAAACCUCGAUAUAACCACCAAAACAGACUUCAUGAAAACUGCACAUCAUAUCUUUGAGGACUUUCGUCAAACAAUUAACAGACAUUGGUAUUUAAUUAUAAUAAUAUUAAUAAAUAAUGAUAUAUUUUUAUAAUUUUUUACAUAUUUUAAUUUUUAUAAUUUAGUGAUUAUUCUUCAUUAUAAUAAUAUUUAUAUCAAACAUUUUAAUUUUAUUUAUUAUUUUCAUUAUCUUAAAAAAAAUCUAAACACAAUCAAAAUAUUCAAACGGUAUAUUAUACAACAAGGACACAAACUCUACUAGGACAACCAAGCUUGAAACUUAGUUCUCACUCGUACACACUACACCAAGAAUAACUUAUAUCAGAACUUACAUCUUCUGAUUUAAGUCUUAUUUUACAGUAAAUUUAUUCAUAAGCAUCACCAUAAGAAGCCAAACUAAGAACAAAGAAGGUUUCCACUGUUUCUUUAAGGGUAACACAACAACACCUUAAAGUUUGAGAAAGUUCUUUUCCUUCAAGCUUUCCACAGUAUCCUUGAGGCUCACUUCCAAAGGAGUAAAUUCAAGCCCCAAGCUCUUUGCUUUUUCCUUCGAAACCUGGAAUAUUGGC